AGCACUCAGGUGCUUUAUUGCAGAGGCUAGUCUGCUUAGUGGGGGACUCUCUGGGAGGGAUAGCACAGCAGCAGAGAGUGAGGUGCUCAUUACCCAUAAAAAUUCCCUGUAUGGUAACUGUUGAGUUGCAGUCUGAACCACUGAUUGAGCACCUGGGGAAAGGAACCGGUCAGCCCUGGGAGCACAGGUGAAGGCAAUUCAUCUGUAUGACCAGAAGGGGUGGAGCCUGGCUGCACCUCUCUUAGACCUCAUUUAAGGGCUGACUGGCACUGGGGGAGUAUCUCUGGUUGGAUAUACCUUCCUUGUGGAGUUUUCCCUUUGAGCUUAGAUCUUCAGAGACAGGUAGCUGAAUCCCAUACCCCUUGGGUUCACAACUGAAUGAAAAAAAAGUUUUCUAUCCUGAGGCAAAAUUCAGCUCUGACACCAGCACGUCGCUUUGCUCUCCCCCAGCCCAGAGCUCCCUGUUGCUGACGGGGUGCAGCAGCCACCCCGGGAUGGGUGUCACAAUCCCACCAUAGGACAAGCAGAAUACCUUCCAGAUAUGUAGUGCAAGAUACUUGGAACAGCUACAAAAACGUGGAAAUGCAAGACGGUGUGCAUAUUAGAUUGGAAUACUGAUUAGAUCCUGAAAUAAAGGGCUAGAGAAGCCAAAGUAGUCGGGAAGCCAGCAUUUUGUGUCAUUUAUUAUUCUUUGGCUAGCUUGAAUUGGAAGAGGAACUGACUGAAUGCUUAAGUGACAUGUUGUCACAUACCAGUGCUGUUUGUGUCAGAGGUUUUGGCAGGGGACCUACACAGAGCAGGGAGCAGGCAUGCCUGGUGUGGCGUGUGGGAGCCGGGCAGCAGAGGCACUGGGAGUUUGGGGACAGAGGAUGGUGGUGACAACACACAUAUGGAGGCACCUUGAGCCACCUGCCAGGAAGGACCACUGCCCCUGCAGAGCUUUGAGCACCAAACAACUGCUGCUAAUAUCGCCUCGCAUCAAGGAAAGUGGUCAAGGCCUAUGGUGGAAGCUCUCCAUGGAAGGACUUCUCUGCUGGAAAAGUGGGAUAUGUUAAGACAAAGCCUGAAAGGUUACUGAGGGGUGAUCACUCCCUGGGCUCUGUCCUUUUGUGCACAGCUCUUCUUGCUCACUCACUUGGCCACUUGCUGGGUAUUUCUGAAAUUAUCAUUUAACCACCUCUCUGCCAGCUUCUGCUGAGCUCACCAGAGCAAGGCUGGCAUGUUAGUCAGCAUUACCGGCUGCUGGAAGCCGGGGAUCAGAGGGACUUUGCUAUUUUUAUCCAGAGUUUCUCACUCUGCAGACAGCUUUCUCACCUCUCCUGAAGUGUCACUGGAUGAAGACCAGUGCCACUGUGACACCAGGCGAUCUCAGCAUGUCAGCCCCAAGGUCUCAGGAAGUCCUGGCCAGAGAAAAGGGUGAUUGCACACAGUGGGGCCUGGUCUGCGGUGCUGCAAACAGCCUCUUGUUUCUUUUUUAAUUUCUUUCCUCUGAAAAGAGAAAGAUGCUCGUGAACAGCAAAAACAAACCGUGCACUGAUUAAAGAAGGGGAAGGUCGUGCCAUCUGUAUAACGUGAUCUGGGAUGUAAUCAUGUAUGUGAUUUUAACCUGAGUAGCUUCUGUCCUCUGUAAGACUCAAUCUCCAGUUUGCUGGAAGUAAAUCCAUCAAAGUCCAGCCAAAUAAAUUGGUGGUUUGAUGUGUUCUGAUGUUCACGCACCAAAGCAUGCCCGGGAGGGCAGUGUCCCAGCCUGUAUUUCGUGAGACAUUUGUAGCUAAACAUCACCUUUACUUCAGGAAGUGUCAGACACCAAGCCCCAGCACUGCAAAAAUACAGGUGGUCAUUCUCCAGUCAAGACUGCAAGGAGGGCCGUGGGGCCUGUCGGAUGUCCAUCCUGAGCACAGUUGUUACACCGAGGCAGUUAAACGAUAUCACCAGCAGCCCACCCCACUGCCUUUGUCUUUUCUGGUUGAGAGCAAUGGCUGCUGGGUGCAGCAAGCUGGAGGAGACACCUGAGUGAAGGGACACGAUGGCAGAGAAAAGAAGCAGCGAAGCCCUUUCUGUGCAUGAAGAUGAGAAACAGACCCUGCAACCUCUUCUGUGGUCAUUGUAGAAACACACAAAGUUUGACAUUUUACUCUGAUCCAGUUGGCCCUACCAAUACAAUACUGAGGCAAGUGGGAUGCAUGGAUUUAUCCUCUUUGUAUUCCUUUUCCUGGCAGCUGGACCAGCCUAGAACGUGAAUUUCAAACUCUGUAAUUAUAUCUACAUCUUUCAUUCCUACAGAAUGCUGACAGAUUAAGGAUGCGAUAAAGACUCUUUUGUCAUAAUAGAAAAGGGCUUGUAUGGGUUUUGCAAUGAAGAUAUGAUAAAGCUCUAAGAGGGCUGUACAAUUUUAUGCUAAUCCCUGGGAAGCAGAUCAAUAUCAAGGCGAAAGGCAUAAUGUUUUUUACAAAAUGAGAGAUCAGCACAGAUGUACUCAGAUGAGAGGCAAGGCUACAAUCAAGUUGCCAGG